ACAGAGGUUCCCUGUGCUUUGGAGUCGGGUCAGAACACUAGGAAGUUGGCUUCAGAGAACCUUCCUCUCCACCCAGCUCCCUGCCAGUCCUUUCCCUCCAUAGCCUCACAUUUCCAUGCUCCCCUGGUCCCUCAUGCCAGCCACUCAUCCAUGGUGGGCAUGGCCAAGUGGGCAGAGCAGCAGCCCCCUGGCCCCAGACGCGAUGAUGAAGCCUAGGGACCAGAUACUGAGGAGCAGACUCAGAAAAUUGACCAUGGCUGAUGUCUAGUCCUUCCUUAUCAUAUCAUGCCCCAACCCCUGCCAGCUGGGAUGACUUCCUGGCUCAGGAAAUAGGUCUAAUGAUAACUGUGUAGUGCCCCAAGGUCUGUGUGCAUGAACACCUGGCUUUCCUGCCUGGAAUGGAUUCUGGCUUAACAUAUCACUGCGCCAACCUGGUGUGCUGGGGAGUGGUGGUGGUUAAGAGUGCAAGGAUGUGCAGGUGGGGCCCAUAAACUAGAGGUGUAAAAGGCCAGGAUGUUCUAGAGGGAGUAGAUGGGAGCUAAGGACUAACACUGCCAGGUGCCACAGCUUCCCACCAGUGUCUCCAGGCAGGUGGGGCUGCCACAGUGCUAGCUGCAAGUCCCUUUCUAGGACCCAUUCACUUCAGCUUGGUGCUUUGGGGUCCCAAGCCUCCUUGUCGAUUUAAGUCUAAAAAGAAGUCUGGAUACAGUCGACCCUUGGGCCAGUGAUGAUGGACCGUCCACCCCCUGUGCUUUGUUCAACUGAUGUGUUGUCCUAGCUGUCGUUAUCCCUGUCUUCCUAUCAGUAUUACCCCCGCCAUUCAGUGCACACUGUCUCUCUCAUUCCUUUCUCAAUUCCCCCCGAAAUGAAUAAAGUCUCCCCAGCUCCUGUUGUAUGGGCUGGCAGAAACCACAUGGACCCUUGUCUGCUUCACUUUGGGAUCUGGAGCCCAAGCCCAUUCCCAUACCCGUCGGCCCCACUGGCUGCAGGAAGAUGCCAAGAUCCUAAGCAGAUGGGAGGAGAACGGAAGAGUGGGGAGCAGGAAGCCUCCCAGCCCUGGCAAGCCACGGUGGUGGCUGGUGGCGGUGUUUCUGGGUUCUGACUCUCAGCCUGUCAAAGCUAUUCAGCUCUUGCUAGCCCUAAUCUGGGAUUAGGUUUCCUAUCCUGCCAGGGGGCACCUCUUCCUCACACAACUCCCAGG
rnacentral:lncRNA from 1 species